rnacentral:rRNA from 1 species
GCAUAUCAAUAAGCGGAGGAAAAGAAACCAACAGGGAUUGCCUCAGUAACGGCGAGUGAAGCGGCAAAAGCUCAAAUUUGAAAUCUGGCUCCCUUCGGGGGCCCGAGUUGUAAUUUGCAGAGGAUGCUUCGGGUGCGGCCGCGGCGUAAGUCCCUUGGAACAGGGCGUCAUAGAGGGUGAGAAUCCCGUCUUGAGCCGCUGGUCCCGCGCCCGUGUGAAGCUCCUUCGACGAGUCGAGUUGUUUGGGAAUGCAGCUCUAAGUGGGUGGUAAAUUUCAUCUAAAGCUAAAUACUGGUCGGAGACCGAUAGCGCACAAGUAGAGUGAUCGAAAGGUUAAAAGCACCUUGAAAAGGGAGUUAAACAGCACGUGAAAUUGUUGAAAGGGAAGCGCUUGCGGCCAGACUCGGGGGCGGGGGUUCAGCGAGCUCUCGUAGCUCGUGCACUCUCCCGUUUCCCGGGCCAGCAUCAGUUUCGGCGGUCGGUCAAAGGCUCCGGGAAUGUGUCGUCUUUAGGGACGUCUUAUAGCCCGGGGUGCAAUGCGGCCUGCUGGGACUGAGGAACGCGCUUCGGCUCGGAUGCUGGCAUAAUGGCCGUAAGCGGCCCGUCUUGAAACACGGACCAAGGAGUCUAACAUCCACGCGAGUGUUCGGGUGUCAAACCCGUGCGCGAAGUGAAAGCGAACGGAGGUGGGAACCCUUAACGGGGGGCACCAUCGACCGAUCCUGAAGUCUUCGGAUGGAUUUGAGUAGGAGCGUGGCCGUUAGGACCCGAAAGAUGGUGAACUAUGCCUGAAUAGGGUGAAGCCAGAGGAAACUCUGGUGGAGGCUCGCAGCGGUUCUGACGUGCAAAUCGAUCGUCGAAUUUGGGCAUAGGGGCGAAAGACUAAUCGAACCAUCUAGUAGCUGGUUCCUGCCGA